AGUCGAGCGGGGGAGAGGUAGCUUUGCUACCUAGACCUAGCGGCGGACGGGUGAGUAAUGCUUAGGAAUCUGCCUAUUAGUGGGGGACAACAUUCCGAAAGGAAUGCUAAUACCGCAUACGCCCUACGGGGGAAAGCAGGGGAUCUUCGGACCUUGCGCUAAUAGAUGAGCCUAAGUCAGAUUAGCUAGUUGGUGGGGUAAAGGCCUACCAAGGCGACGAUCUGUAGCGGGUCUGAGAGGAUGAUCCGCCACACUGGGACUGAGACACGGCCCAGACUCCUACGGGAGGCAGCAGUGGGGAAUAUUGGACAAUGGGCGCAAGCCUGAUCCAGCCAUGCCGCGUGUGUGAAGAAGGCCUUUUGGUUGUAAAGCACUUUAAGCGAGGAGGAGGCUACUGGGAUUAAUACUCUAGGAUAGUGGACGUUACUCGCAGAAUAAGCACCGGCUAACUCUGUGCCAGCAGCCGCGGUAAUACAGAGGGUGCGAGCGUUAAUCGGAUUUACUGGGCGUAAAGCGUGCGUAGGCGGCUUUUUAAGUCGGAUGUGAAAUCCCUGAGCUUAACUUAGGAAUUGCAUUCGAUACUGGGAAGCUAGAGUAUGGGAGAGGAUGGUAGAAUUCCAGGUGUAGCGGUGAAAUGCGUAGAGAUCUGGAGGAAUACCGAUGGCGAAGGCAGCCAUCUGGCCUAAUACUGACGCUGAGGUACGAAAGCAUGGGGAGCAAACAGGAUUAGAUACCCUGGUAGUCCAUGCCGUAAACGAUGUCUACUAGCCGUUGGGGCCUUUGAGGCUUUAGUGGCGCAGCUAACGCGAUAAGUAGACCGCCUGGGGAGUACGGUCGCAAGACUAAAACUCAAAUGAAUUGACGGGGGCCCGCACAAGCGGUGGAGCAUGUGGUUUAAUUCGAUGCAACGCGAAGAACCUUA
rnacentral:rRNA from 1 species